rnacentral:rRNA from 1 species
AUUGAACGCUGGCGGCAGGCUUAACACAUGCAAGUCGAGCGGAGAUGAGGUGCUUGCACCUUAUCUUAGCGGCGGACGGGUGAGUAAUGCUUAGGAAUCUGCCUAUUAGUGGGGGACAACAUUCCGAAAGGAAUGCUAAUACCGCAUACGCCCUACGGGGUAAAGCAGGGGAUCUUCGGACCUUGCGCUAAUAGAUGAGCCUAAGUCGGAUUAGCUAGUUGGUGGGGUAAAGGCCUACCAAGGCGACGAUCUGUAGCGGGUCUGAGAGGAUGAUCCGCCACACUGGGACUGAGACACGGCCCAGACUCCUACGGGAGGCAGCAGUGGGGAAUAUUGGACAAUGGGCGGAAGCCUGAUCCAGCCAUGCCGCGUGUGUGAAGAAGGCCUUUUGGUUGUAAAGCACUUUAAGCGAGGAGGAGGCUACCUGGAUUAAUACUCUAGGAUAGUGGACGUUACUCGCAGAAUAAGCACCGGCUAACUACGUGCCAGCCGCCGCGGUAACAC